GAGGAUGACAGACAGCGAUUAACUUCUCCAUUCUGUCAUAAUGUCAUGUCAUCAACGAUAGAAUGCACAUUUUUAACCUUCUCAUUUUGGGUUAAUUCUGAGCUUCAUCAGCCUCAUUUAAGAACAUCCCUGCCUAUUUAGGGAUAUUCAGGGUAUUCAGGGAUUCAAAUGGUCUCCUGCUUACUCUGCCACAUGCAAGCAGUUCCCCUUUCUUUUAAGUCAUCAUUUUUCCAAGAGAUUAUCCAUAAAUCUAAAGCUGUUUUCUGAUUGAAUAUACUUUUUAGCCUUUAUGGUUUUGACAACAUGGCAGCAUAGCUCUACUGUUUCCAACCAAGUGUGGAUCACUUUGGUCCAUUUACCUAUCAUGUGUUGAACAGUGAAGAUGACAACAGAAAAGAAGCAGGCAAUGUAACUGAAGCACCAACCCUACAGGUUGUUGGCCGUAGCUGAUUUUUGAGUACUGAAAGAGUUUGUGCUCUCUUUCCUGGCUCUCUUAUCUCGCCAUACCAUUCAAAAACUUUGGAUCUCCUAUCAUGAUCUAUUGGCACCUGAGAGAAGAUUUUAGCAAAACAAAUUUGAUGGCCCCAGGAUUAUCUGCUGGUGUUCUUCAAGUACUGUUCAUUUAAAAAUACACUCCUCUCUUGUUCAUCUCACGCCCUCACGUUUAAUAAUGCUUCUCCUUCCACUGAUUUCACAAUGUAGAAGUUGCCCCAGUAAGUACUUCCAGGCUGUUUAUAUGACUCAGCAUAAGCCUUGCUAUCCAAAAGUGGGACAAACAAGAAUGUUCAGACCUGACAAUUUAGGUGUGUCUUCCCAAGAGUUCCCUGCGGUCUCACUUUAGGCCUGAAGCUUUAAGACAUGAAAAUGCUGGCACUAAAACAAAAAAAAUGUGUUGGCUUCCCAUUCCUAAGUGGGCUGCACCCACAUCCUGUUGCUUUUCUCUGUAGUCUUGUAGGAGAGUACCAUGUUCUUCUGAUGCUUCAGAAUUGACCUGGAGAAAUGGAAGAAAAAGCUUGAAAAAACAACUAGACUAACUAGAUAUGAAAGGUUGCCUAAACAAAGGAGGGUUAUGUUCUGUUUUGUCACAGGCCAGGCCAGAAGCAAACAGAAUCAAUGCAUUCAGAUUGGAGAUUUGUAGGAACACUCAAAGAUUUGAAGAGCUCUAAACAGAAAAGAAGAAAGGAACUCUUGGACUAUCUUGGAACAGUGGUCUUGGUAUUGGGAUAAAUGGAUGUUUGAACAGACUUGGGUGUUAGGACUGAAAAACAUGGAUUGAUUACUUGUGGGGUUUGGAUUCAAUCUCUGAGGAACGAUCUGCUGGAUUCCCCAAAGUUACCUUCAUCUCCCAGUGUGUCUCUUUCUGAAGAUGAAUAGAAAGGAAUAUCCUGGUACACCAACACUUCAUCCCCUUUUCUCCCCAUCCAAGACUGGUACAACCGUAACAUUCUUAAAUGCCUUGUUAACAGUUCCCUUUAUGCUGCUCCCUCCCCACGUUUAAGAACUUGUUCUUU